CUCAACAGGCCCCCAAGAGAAGUGGUUAAGAGGGUUCGGUCCCUUCUCAGUGGUACAAGUGGCACAAUCUGCUGAGAAAAUAAUUUACUUUACAUGAAGUCACUGUGAUGUGAUGUGAUGUGAUGUGAUGUGAUGUGAUGUGAUGUGAUGUGAUGUGACAAGGAUCACAGUGCAGUGGUACAACCUGCAGAUAGUAAAGGCAGUAAGAGUGACAUAACAGCCUCCCACUAACUCUCCUCACUACAAGAAGGAAACAAAGGCCAAACUGAAGAAACAAUGUAAGUUAGUUUAUCCUCUACAUGUAGCCCAUCAUGGUGGAAUCAGGGUAAAGUUCACUCAACAGGUAAGAGUUUCAUCUUGACAUGAUUGUUUCACUGAGCAGCAGAAUUGACCAGUAGCACAGCUGGAAUAUUACAAGGUGAGUUUGACAGCUACAAAACAAUGACUUUUAUUCUUUAUGCUCUUGACUUUAUGAAAGACAUUUUGCGUACAGCCCCAAACGUGAAAUAAAGAUGAGGGAACAGACUCAUGAAAGUGAAGAGGAAAAGAAAGCCCUCUAGAUGAGACCAGGAAUCAAUGAACGCUGGCCCAGGAAGAGGAAACAGAUGACAAACAGCCCAAGGAUGAUUCAAGGCUUUCUUUGGGCGGCUGCAAGACCCCAAACACCAGAAAGACCCAGAGAAACCUAGAGAAGCAAACAACGACGAGAACAAAUAGUUGUGUUUGGGAGACUCCAAGACCCCAAAUGAUUCCAAAGAGCCCAGAGGAGCCCAAAGAUGAGACACAGGAGGAGAAACAACCCCAGGAUGCAAAGAGGAAUGAGCAUGUCCAUAUAGUGAACAUGGAAGGGCAUGGUGAGGCAUCAUGGUUUCACUGGUCCAGCCUCAUUACACAGUUUAUAAUGAAAGAAAUCCUACCAUGGUCUCUGUCUCCUCUCCGGCCUCAGCAGCAGCAAACUAACAAAGUGUCUGAGCUGCAGAGAAGAUGCUCUUGAAAUCUGAUGGUUACCUAGCUGGUGAAGGAGAAAUCCAAAAAGCAAGCAGAGAAGCAGGAGUCCAACUGUAAAGACAUGCAGACUACACUAUACUUUACAAUAACCUUUGUAAUGUCUGUUUCAGCCGAGUGCAAACAGAGGACCUGAGUGAACGCUGCAUUGAAAGAAGCUGGGGACAAGUUGGCAGAGAACACACACAGCACUCCCACCUACAGAAUGGAAGAUUUGAUG